rnacentral:miRNA from 1 species
UGUAUUCAUACUGUCUGAGCUG